rnacentral:rRNA from 11 species
UUGUUUGGCCCUAUUACUACAAAGGCACCAGAAUCUGACUGACCUUGGAAACUAAGGUGGAUCAGCCCUGGUUAGUACCUGGAUAGGAAAUCCCCAAUGAAGAUCAGGUGCUAUAUAUG